GCUAAGAGGGAGAAUUGGCUUUUUUAUCAAAGGGCUGCCACAGAAAACAAGAAACAUGAGCAUGGCAUUAGGGAAGUGAAGCCUGUGGGUAAUUUGUGGUGGCAAGGGGUUGGAGGCGGAAAGACUGUUUGAUGGGGUGCUUACUGUAUUGAGCUUCAGGCAGCAAAGGUAUUACGAAAGCCGUCAAGUUGGAGGACCGGAAAAGGAAAGUGGAUCUGGGCAGCCUUCCCAGAGGAGCAAGUAUUCCACCUGGGGCAUAGCUGACUUGGGUACCCUUUCUGACAAACCAGGUUGGCCUUCUCAGUCUAUGAAGAAAAGGAGGGUGGCAAAAGUGCCCUGCACAGACAAAGCUGCUGAAUGAAGGAAGAGAUGAUAACGCCCUCUUUGGCACCCAGCUCUUUCUGGGAGGUACAUUCUCACCCAGUUGGAAGGGAAUGAAGACUAUCUCAUCUGUCAGACCUCUGGACAUAGCCCCGUGGCACAAAGAGAUGUGUCUUUAGGCAAAAUUAGGCAGCUUGUGAAUUUGAUUUCUGUUCCUAGUAUAAAGGGGCUGUGACUAAUUUUA